rnacentral:rRNA from 1 species
UACGAAGGGGGCUAGCGUUGCUCGGAAUCACUGGGCGUAAAGGGUGCGUAGGCGGGUCUUUAAGUCAGGGGGGAAAUCCUGGAGCUCAACUCCAGAACUGCCUUUGAUACUGAAGAUCUUGAGUUCGGGAGAGGUGAGUGGAACUGCGAGUGUAGAGGUGAAAUUCGUAGAUAUUCGCAAGAACACCAGUGGCGAAGGCGGCUCACUGACCCGAUACUGACGCUGAGGCACGAAAGCGUGGGGAGCAAACAGG